rnacentral:rRNA from 1 species
UACGGAGGGGGCGAGCGUUAUUCGGAAUUAUUGGGCGUAAAGGGCGCGUAGGCGGCUGAACAAGUCAAAGGUGAAAUCCCUCGGCUCAACUGAGGAACUGCCUUUGAAACUGUUCGGCUUGAGGCCGGGAGGGGGUAGCGGAAUUCCCAGUGUAGCGGUGAAAUGCGCAGAUAUCAGGAGGAACACCGGUGGCGAAGGCGGGUCUCUGGGCCGAUACUGACGCUGAGGAGCGAAAGCGUGGGGAGCGAACAGG